rnacentral:lncRNA from 1 species
CAUCCUCAUCUCCGCUACACCCAUUUUGUGUACGUGUUGAUGCUUCACCGCCCAACAUUCUGUGCCAUACAACAUCGCUGGCCUUAUUGCCGUCCUAUAAAAUUUUUCCUUGAGCUUCAGUGGCCUACGACGGUCACACAACACGCCGGAUGCACUCUUACACUUCAUCCAUCCAGCUUGUAUUCUAUGGUUGAGAUCUCCAUCUAAUUCUCCAUUCUCUUGCAAGAUAGAUCUUAGGUAGCGAAAACGGUCACUUUUUGUGAUCUUCGCUAGAUUGCUCCGGUCAUUAGUGUGGAUAAGUAUAUAAAUAGAUAGAAUUAGGAAAGCAAACACAAGAUAUAUGUGGUUCACCCAGAUUGGCUACGUCCACAGAAUAGAGGAGUUCUCAUUAAUUGUGAAGGGUUUACACAAGUACAUAGGUUCAAGCUCUCCUUUAGUGAGUACAAGUGAAUGAUUUAGUACAAAUGACAUUAGGAAAUAUUGUGGGAGAAUGAUCUCGUAACCACGAAACUUCUAAGUACCGGAGUGUGGUAUCGUCUUGACUUGCCUUAUCUGUCUCAUAGGUAGAUGUGGCAUCUUCUCUGGAAGUACUCUUCCUCCAUCCAGGGGUGGUAUCUGUAACUGGUAGAGAUGCACAAGGUAAUGUAUCAAUUUCACUUGAAGCUUACUUGUAGUUUCAGGCUUGGUCAAGCGCGAUACAAACCAUGUAGUAGGAGUCCCCCAAGUCGCCGGGCUAGGGGAUCUGCUGAAAGAGGUGACAGACAAGGUAAGCAAUCAGAGCUCCAGCUGGUUGUUCACAUUCUCCCUAUCUUGCAGGCAGCAUGAAGGAUAAAGAGAAGAAAAAUGAGAAGAGAUGAUAUGGGAUACUUUUGCUUUUGAAGAAGUAACUUUCCACAGGCUUAUUCUUGAACCGGGCUGCAGGGUUUUCUGGUUUCAUCCAGAGUAUAAGGCCGACUGAAGAAUUUGAGGGUCAAAACAAGUCCAUCAAAUCUAGAGUACGUUCGACCCUGCUGAUAUGGGAUACUUUUGCUUUUGACAGAGUAGUGGAUGUAUCGGCACGUGUGCUGUUACGCUUGUCUCCCCAUGCUUCUUUGUAUCCUUCUCACUUGCCCUAUUUGUUCCUCAGGCAGAUGCGGUAUCUUCCCUGGAAGCAUAAGAUGUUGAAGAUGAGUACUCGAGAGCAAUGCCAGGUAAGUAAUCAGGUAAGGGGUUCCAGGCAGUCAGUUCCUGGCUGGAAGCUUGAUUCCAAGUGCUGACUGAUUGCUCUCGUUCUCCUUGUCUUGCAGGUAAGAACAAGGCCAAAGGAAAAGACAGGGAAAAAGCAUGAUAUGGGAUACUCUUGCUUUUAACCCUGAUGAUAUGAGAUAUUCUUGCUCUAGUAUAGCUUGUUUACAGAGGUAUUAUCGGGGGGAAAGAAAGCUGAAUAUUUCGAAAAGCUUCGUUGGGAGUGCCCUCUCAGAUAAGAGAAAGGGUUGAGCAUUUUUGCAGGUCUGCCUGUCCGUUAGGGAUGGAGGUCGACAUAUAUAGGAGUCUCCCUAACAUCAAGUAAUAAUGCUAUUCCUUUACCCUGCUUGGUCAUAACACGGUAGUGGGAGCUGCCAGCUUCACGUGUUUUAACUCUGUCAGAGCACUUUGAAAAAGUGGUCUGUGGUAUCUGGAAAGCUGAUGUUGCGUGUGAAGAUUACAGACAAGCUUUAUCCAAGGAGAUCCAGCUCUUGAAGUUGGGAAAGUGGUGCCUCUUCGGUUUUCGAACAAGCAAUCCUGUCGAGGAUCUGGCUCUCGAGAUUCGGAGAACGAUGCCUCUUCGAUUUUUGAGAAAGCAAUCCUGCUGGGGGUCUGGCUCUCGAGAUUCGGAGAGCGGUGUCUCUUCGAUUUUUGAGAAAGUAAUCAUGUUGGGAGUCUGGCUCUCGAGAUUCGGAGGGCGGUGCCUCUUCGAUUUUGGAGCAAGCAAUCUUGUUGGGAGUGUUUUCUCGAAUGUGAGUAAAGGUUGGGCAUGUUUGCUAGUCUACCUUGCCACGAAGCACAGAGGUUGACACACAGGGACUUUCCAAUUAUCCAGCAGUGGUACUGUUCCUUUACCCUCUCUUCGAUUUUUGAGAAAGUAAUCAUGUUGGGAGUCUGGCUCUCGAGAUUCGGAGGGCGGUGCCUCUUCGAUUUUGGAGCAAGCAAUCUUGUUGGGAGUGUUUUCUCGAAUGUGAGUAAAGGUUGGGCAUGUUUGCUAGUCUACCUUGCCACGAAGCACAAAGGUUGACACACAGGGACUUUCCAAUUAUCCAGCAGUGGUACUGUUCCUUUACCCUCUCUUCGAUUUUUGAGAAAGUAAUCAUGUUAGGAGUCUGGCUCUCGAGAUUCGGAGGGCGGUGCCUCUUUGAUUUUGGAGCAAGCAAUCCUGUUGAGAGUGUUUUCUUGAAUGUGAGUAAAGGUUGGCAUGUUUGCUAGUCUACCUUGCCACGAAGCACAGAGGUUGACACACCGGGACUUUCCAAUUAUCCAGCAGUGGUACUGUUCCUUUACCCUUGUGGGUAAUAAUAUGGUAGCUAGACCUUCAAAAUUUAUGUGUCUAAACUUUGUUAGUGUUGUUUCUUUGCAAUUCUUUUACCCUUCUUGGUCAGAGCGAUGUAGCGGGAGCUGCAAGCUUCACGUGUCUCAACUUUAUCAGAGAACUUUGGCAAAGUUAUUUGUGGUACCCAUGAGUUACUGUUGCGUAUGGGAAGUGAACAGUACGAUUCAUGUGCUUUCUACUUCGCCAGAAAUCUUCAACAGAAUGCCCAUAAUUUCCGCAAAGCUGAGUGUGCGUGUGACAAGUGCUGACAAGGCUGGAAAAGUAGGUGCCUCUUCGAUUUCUGAGAUCGACCUUCGUGGUCUCUUAGCAGCCCAGCUUUUGAGAAAGCAAGCCUCUUCGAUUUCUGAUAUCGGCCUUCGUGGUCUUUGAGCAGCCCAGCUUUUGAGAAAGCAAACGCCUCUUCGAUUUCUGAGAUCGACCCUCGAGGUCUCUGAGCAGCCCAGCUUUUGAGAAAGCAAACGCCUCUUCGAGUUCUGAGCAGGCGCUUCUUCGAUUUCUGAAGUUUCGUCGAGUGCAGAUUUUUAUAGGGGCUGACAUUAAGUUCCAAAGCACACUUAAAUAUCCACCAGUAGAAGCUCCAUUCUUGCACUUCUAAGAUCUUGAUUUAUCCGACCUCUUCUCUCUUCAACACCUUUGAAAAAUGUCUGGCCCCUCCGACCGUCGUUUUGACUUGAACCUUGUUGAAGAGGCAGCCCCGCCUUCUCCAGACAACAUAUGGCGCCCAUCCUUCGUCCUUCGUCUCCCUACUGGUCCUCUUACCGUUGGGGAUUCCGUGAUGAAAAAUGAUAUGACCGCUGCGGUAGUGGCCAGGAACCUUCUCACUCCUAAAGAUAACAGACUACUUUCCAAACGGUCUGAUGAGUUGGCUGUUAAGGAUUCUCUGGCUCUCAGUGUUCAGUGUGCAGGUUCUGUGUCUAAUAUGGCCCAACGCCUAUUUGCUCGAACCCGCCAAGUUGAAUCAUUGGCGGCUGAAGUGAUGAGUCUCAAACAGGAGAUUAGAGGGCUCAAGUAUGAGAAUAAACAGUUGCACCGGCUCGCACAUGACUAUGCUACAAACAUGAAGAGGAAGCUUGACCAGAUGAAGGAAUCUGAUGGUCAGGUUUUACUUGAUCAUCAGAGAUUUGUGGGUUUGUUCCAAAGGCAUUUAUUGCCUUCGUCUUCUGGGGCUGUACCGCGUAAUGAAGCUCCAAAUGAUCAACCUCUGAUGCCUCCUCCUUCUAGGGUUUUGUCCAGUACUGAGGCUCCGAAUGAUCCCCCUCUGGUGCCUUCUCUUUCUGGGGCUCUACCGACUGCUGAGACUUCUCCUAAGCAACCUUUGUGAAGGCUCCCUCUUGUUUGUUUAUUUUGACUCAAGUAUAUGUACAUAUUUGUAACUUAUCGGGGAUAUCAAUAAAUAAGUUUUCCUUCAUUUCAACGUAUUGUGUUAAAUACACCAAAACCUUCUUCGCUAAGUUCUUUGAAUUUUCUUUUGUUGAAGCUUGUAUGUUGAAGCUUUGUGAGUGGAGCAUGUAGGUUGAGGUAGUGUUCCCUUAAUUUCCCGAGUGAGGAAAACUUCUCGGUUGGAGACUUGGAAAAUCCAAGUCACUGAGUGGGAUCGGCUAUAUGAAUCUUAGAACGCCAUUGUGUUCUGUCCUGUGUCAUGUCCUCCGUUAGAUCCAAGUACUCUAAGUCUUUUCUUAGAGUCUCUUCCAAAGUUUUCCUAGGUCUUCCUCUACCCCUUCGGCCCUGAACCUCUGUCCUAUAGUCGCAUCUUCUAAUCGGAGCGUCAGUAGGCCUUCUUUGCACAUGUCCAAACCACCGUAACCGAUUUUCUCUCAUCUUUCCUUCAAUUUCGGCUACUCCUACUUUACCCCGGAUAUCCUCAUUCCUAAUCUUAUCCUUUCUCGUGUGCCCACACAUCCAACGAAGCAUCCUCAUCUCCGCUACACCCAUUUUUGUGUACGUGUUGAUGCUUCACCGCCCCAACAUUCUGUGCCAUACAGCAUCGCCGGCCUUAUGCCGUCCUAUAAAAUUUUCCCUUGAGCUUCAGUGGCAUACGGCGGUCACACAACACGCCGGAUGCACUCUUCCACUUCAUCCAUCCAGCUUGUAUUCUAUGGUUGAGAUCUCCAUCUAAUUCUCCGUUCUUUUGCAAGAUAGAUCCUAGGUAACGAAAACGGUCGCUCUUUGGUAUUUCUUGAUCUCCGAUCCUCACCCCUAACUCGUUUUGGCCUCCAUUUGCACUGAACUUGCACUCCAUAUAUUCUGUCUUUGAUCGGCUCAGGCGAAGACCUUUAGAUUCCAACACUUCUCUCCAAAGGUUAAGCUUUGCAUUUACCCCUUCCUGAGUUUCAUCUAUCAACACUAUAUCGUCUGCGAAAAGCAUACACCAAGGAAUAUCAUCUUGAAUAUGUCCUGUUA